rnacentral:lncRNA from 1 species
AUUCUUUCCAAAGAUGGAUGCAAAUGCUGGGAAAGCAAGAGUUGAAUUGCUAGCCAUGAGGAAAACGUAAGCCUGAGCUGUUUGCUGGCCAUCUUUGCUUCCACAUGGGGAUGGCCUGCCUGGAAAUGAAGCCACACAGAGAAAACAGAAGAGCAGUGAAGAGAAGGGUAAAAGGAGAGAUCCCAUGACAUGAUUUGCACUCUUAGAUCCAGUUAUGCCUGAUGCAGGACCCACCCCUUGGACUUCCCAUUUCCAGGAGCUAAAACUAGACUGAGUUGAGUUUCUGUCACUGACAGUUGACAGAAAAUAUCAACAAUCCAGCCACAUGGAGCCUCAUGGCAGUACCACUAACCCUGGUCACCACAUGAAUACUGACCAGAGAUGUCAAUGUGAUCUUUCACAAGCACACUGAAAAAUUCACACCGUGGAAAAGAACUAAAGUCCCAUCCUAAUUCAUCAGAGCCUUCUGUUUCCUGUAACAAAGAAGAACUCACAAGAUCAGGAUUCCAAGCUUCUUGUAUAGAAGAUACCUAAAAAGUGUUUGCUGAAUGAAGAAAUAAAGGAUUGCUCAGGCACCACUGGCACUUUAAGUUGUUCAGCAAGUACUCGUGCCUCUUAAGAACUGGCCAAGGGCCGGGCGUGGUGGUUCAUGCCUGUAAUCCCAGCAUUUUGGGACGCCGAGGCGGGCAGAUCACGAAGUCAGGAGUUCGAGACCAGCGUGGCCAACGUGGUGAAACCCCAUCUCUACUAAAAAUACAAAAACUUAGCCGGGUGUGGUGGCCUGCGCCUGUAGUCCCAGCUACUCGGGAGGCUGAGGCACAAGAAUUGCUUGAACCCACGAGGAGGAGCUUGCAGUAAGCCGAGAUCGCGCCAUUGCACUCCAGCCUGGGCAACAGGGCAAGACUCUGUCCUGAAAGAAAAAAAAAAAAAAAAAAAAAAAGAACUGGCCGAGGUCUUAGCUGGAGCACUCUCUCUACCCUGCAUGUUUGACUGCAUUUCUGUCCAUUUUCAAUCCGUUUUGGUUAUACGUUUUUUCACACAGGUCUGUUGAACUUAGAACACCGAAGGCCUGUGUAUUUUCAUGGCUCACAGCUCAUGUUGUGUUGACCUGCCCCACUGUGGUUAAUGUUUAGCCCCUAAACCACCAGCUGAAUGUCCUUAAAUCUGAAAGAAUAAUGAACACACGCCAACAGAUAGCUUAGGUUUAUUUGGUGACUUGCGCCACAUACUUUGCGAAUAUCAUCUCAGUCAUCCUUUUAGCAUCUCUCUCAGGCACAUACUCUCCUCUGUGGUGGCUCAUGCCGGUAAUCCCAGCCCUUUGGGAGGCCGAGGCGGGCAGAUCACUUGAGGCAAGGAGUUCGAGACCAGCCUGGCCAACACGGUGAAACCCCAUCUCUACUAAAAAUACAAAAAUUAGCCGGCUAUGGUGGCAUGCGCCUGUAAUCCCAGCUGCUCGAGAGGCUGAGGCAGGAGAAUCAUUUGAACCCAGGAGGCAGAGGUUGCAGUGAGCCUAGACUGCACCAUUGCACUUCAGCCUGGGUGAGACCCCAUCUCAAAUCAAUCAAUCAAUCAAUCAAUCAAUCAAUCAAUAAGGGAAAAGCUAUCACACAGCAGAAUACAGUCCAAGGGUAACUACUGAAGGGCCAGAUCAAGGAGCAAAGUCUAUCAUGUAUCAACCUUUACAGUGUCCCCAAGGGUCAGCUGUGUAUAGGGGCCCACACAGAAUUUGGAAUCCAAAUACAUCUCUGGAUCCCCAGGCCUGUGUUUGACUCGCCAGGUAGUAAUGAGAUGUCUCCAUUUUCUGCAGGCUGAAUGAUUCCCUCAGAGCAGAAGUAUAAGCAUAUUUAUUGUUUUUCCUUCUAUCAUAAACAGUUAUUAGUUGUGGCCCUUUCUCCCUUCCAAAUAGGUGCCCAAAUUUCUGGAAGUGGAAAGGGCCCAACUUUCCCAUAUCAGGGGGUGGGCCCCACUGGGCGUGAGCCAAUCAGUGUCUUCUGUCCUGUGAGCUCCCGAUUUAUGCUGGUCUAUAACCUGAGAUGGCCUUCUCAGGAUGGACCUCCAGGGAUUGCUGGAACUUGGACUCUUGUCAGCCUGGUAAAUGGUAUGUCUUAGAUCUGCUGCAGCCGUCGUGGAAAACUUGAAGCUGCCAGGAGAGAGGGGUUCCAACAUGUGGUGGCUAAAGAAUGAAUCCAACUCAAAGGAAGCAGAGCCAAGAAAUGGAUCCAUGCUGUUUGAAUCUUGGAUCAAAUUGUGCCUGGAUCUCCAGUGAGACAAUAA